rnacentral:rRNA from 1 species
AAGGGGAGCAAUCCUCUGAGUAAAGUGGCGACCGGGUGAGUAACACGUGACUAACCUACCCUCGAGUGUGGAAUAACAUCGGGAAACCGAUGCUAAUACCGCAUAACAUCGCAAGAUCAAAGGAGCAAUCCGCUUGAGGAGGGGGUCGCAGCUGAUUAGCUAGUUGGCGGGGUAACGGCCCACCAAGGCGAAGAUCGGUAGCCGGCCUGAGAGGGCGCACGGCCACACUGGAACUGAAACACGGUCCAGACUCCUACGGGAGGCAGCAGUGGGGAAUUUUGCGCAAUGGGGGAAACCCUGACGCAGCAACGCCGCGUGGAGGAUGAAGCCCCUUGGG